CCUACGGGAGGCAGCAGUGAGGAAUAUUGGUCAAUGGACGAGAGUCUGAACCAGCCAAGUAGCGUGAAGGAUGACUGCCCUAUGGGUUGUAAACUUCUUUUAUAUGGGAAUAAAACGUUCCACGUGUGGGAUUUUGUAUGUACCAUAUGAAUAAGGAUCGGCUAACUCCGUGCCAGCAGCCGCGGUAAUACGGAGGAUCCGAGCGUUAUUCGGAUUUAUUGGGUUUAAAGGGAGCGUAGGUGGAAUGUUAAGUCAGUUGUGAAAGUUUGCGGCUCAACCGUAAAAUUGCAGUUGAAACUGGCAGUCUUGAGUACAGUAGAGGUGGGCGGAAUUCGUGGUGUAGCGGUGAAAUGCUUAGAUAUCACGAAGAACUCCGAUUGCGAAGGCAGUUCACUGGACUGCAACUGACACUGAGGCUCGAAAGUGUGGGUAUCAAACAGGAUUAGAUACCCUAGUAGUC
rnacentral:rRNA from 1 species